GACGAACGCUGGCGGCGUGCUUAACACAUGCAAGUCGAACGGAAAGGCCCUGCUUUUGUGGGGUGCUCGAGUGGCGAACGGGUGAGUAACACGUGAGUAACCUGCCCUUGACUUUGGGAUAACUUCAGGAAACUGGGGCUAAUACCGGAUCGGAGCUCCUGCUGCAUGGUGGGGGUUGGAAAGUUUCGGCGGUUGGGGAUGGACUCGCGGCUUAUCAGCUUGUUGGUGGGGGAGUGGCUUACCAAGGCUUUGACGGGUAGCCGGCCUGAGAGGGUGACCGGCCACAUUGGGACUGAGAUACGGCCCAGACUCCUACGGGAGGCAGCAGUGGCGAAUAUUGCACAAUGGGCGGAAGCCUGAUGCAGCAACGCCGCGUGCGGGAUGACGGCCUUCGGGUUGUAAACCGCUUUCGCCUGUGACGAAGCGUGAGUGACGGUAAUGGGUAAAGAAGCACCGGCUAACUACGUG
rnacentral:rRNA from 1 species